GAUGGGCUGAAUAUCCCUAUAAAAGUAAAAUUUCAGUUGCACUUGAGCUCGUAGAGCUUCGGCCAUUUUUAAAUGUUUGGGCUUUGGGCAUUUAAAUAAUCGGUUGGGCUUAAAAUGAGAAGUGAUAAAUGACGAAGGAGCUUUAUCAGAGCAGCAGGAGUCAACAGGAUCCCAAUGGAGGUAGCAUCGCUGGCUGCAUUCCUCUGCAUGCCUGCUGCCUCUUUCAUCUCCGGCCAAAUCAUUUGUGCCGACGGCGCCCGCCGCCUUUGAGGCUGCCCACAGUCACAGUGUUCGUUCACUUUAAGUUUGUAAUAAACAGUUGCUCGUAAGGUGUUUGAUGAAAUGUUCAUGAGACUGAACUGUUUUACCCAAGAGAAGCAACAAUGCCCAUCAACUGCUUGCCGAAAUGGGUCAUCGAGAUUAAGUAGAGAAAUGCUUUUUGCCUCUGAUUUCUUGAUUAAAUGUUUGAUGAAAUGUCUGUUUUUUUGUUUUGUUUUUGUUUUUGUUUUUUGGGUUACUGGUUUGUGUUUGUAGUUGGUACCCUUUAAUUGUUUCGGCUCAUAUUCAAGGAAGCGAGGUAUAACAAUAAAAUUGAAUCAAGUAUUGAAAUGAUAUUAGCUCGUAGUGUAAAACAAAAAUGAAGGUCGUAAGCUUUACUCGUUGUCCUUAUUUUCAAUGGAAGAUAUCCAAUCCAGUGAUGAUGAUGAUGAUGCAAGACUUUUUCGUUGGUAUGAACGAUCUUGUGCAGGCCAUAUACGGCAUUAUCAAUCAUUUGAACUUGUUCUCGUGUCAGAUACUGCAACGGAGCUUUGCUCUGGGCAUAAAGACAUUCGCGUUCUGGCAUUUAUUGUAUAUUCUUGUGGUACUAUGCAACUGACCGUGGGUAUAUAUAAAGACUGUGAAGGAUGGGUUCGGAUAGCAUUGAAGGAAAUAGGAGACAAACCAUGGAGGGAACUAGGAGCAUUGAUGUUGAUGAGAGGAAGAAUCGAUGGUCGCUUUGUGGAACAACUGCUUUAGUCACUGGAGGAACUAAAGGAAUUGGGUACUAAUCUAAACUCAUUCUAGUUUUUGAAGCCUUCAUUUCCUAAUUCUAAUUGAAUGCUUUUAUCUUCGAUAAGUUAAUACGUGUAGAUAGUCAUAUUAGGACUAUUCGACGUAAGAAAUAGCAAUUCUGCAUUUUGAUUUUAAGAUUUUUGGUACGAUCUUGUCAAUGUAAUAAUAGCAAGAACUUUAGGAAUUGCGUGCGGUGGAUAAGAAAGUACAUUUUCUUUUUUUUUGGUAAAUGAAUAAAUUUCUCAUUAUACCAAUGGAAUGAAAGUACAAAACAAAAGCUCAAACUGUGAUAUAAAAGAACAAAAGCUUACAAAAAGCUAACAAAAGUAUCAAAGAUAUCUAUAUAUGCGAUGAUAAGGAAUUUUCGCUUUUAGCACUCUGGUCAAAACCUCCUGCUUAACUGCAGCGAUCAAAUCACUGGCAUCAGAAGACUUCUCAGCAAAAGUCCUAUAGUUUCUCUCACACCAUAUGUGAUACACCACAACAGAAAUACUAGCUUUUAGAAUUCUCCACUUUACUGAUUCCUCCCUACAAGAGACGCAACCGAUGCAACACCUCCAGCCAAGAAGCUGGGUAAGCAAAAGUCCUGUUCCAUGCCAGAAUAUGAUCCCAAACUGAAGUAGAAUAAGAACAUUGAAAAAAUAAGUGCUCAAGUGUUUCCUCCUGCUGCAAACAUAAACAGCAGCUAUUAGUUUGCACAAUCCCCAUGCGCAUCAGCUGAUGCUGUAUAAGAAGCCUUCUUAUUGCAGCUAACCAUUCAAUGAUACUAUGCAUUGGCACAGUUAGAGGACUCCAAAUGAAAGGAGACCAAUCUACCACCAUGUUUAAGAUCAUAACACAACUGAUACGCAGAGGAGAUCUUAAACUUGCAGCCAACUAAGAUUAUGUGUAGAGGCAUCAAUUGACCCCCCAUCUUUCUAAUAGGAAAUCUCUAACUUUUAAAACCUGUUUCCAUUGCCAUGAAUCCCCAACUGUAGGCUUAACAUGCCAAAUAUCAUACUGCUUGAGAUAACCUCGUGAGCCCAUUUUAUCCAUAGAACAUCGUUCUUGGUUUGGAUCUCCCAGAUAAGCCUAGCAAUGGAAGCAAGGUUCCAUCCUUCUGCAUGGAAAAUGCCAAGUCCACCGGCAUCUUUGGAUCUACAGAUAUCGUGCUAAGCAACAAGAGGUGCCUUCUGACUAGUAUCACCCCAAACACCUUUAAAAAAAAAAACCAUCCCACCCACCCACAAAGAAAUCUUCUACAGAUUUGAUCAGUACUUCUCAAGACUGGUUUGUGAAGAAGAAAGUCACUGGUUCAAAAUACUUGAAGAAGAAAGUGUUGAGAUAUGCAGUUUGUAUGUUUUCGUAUUUCCUAGAUUUGAUAGGGGUCUUUUUGGUAAAAUAGAUGAUAGAGAAAGAUAGGGGUUUGGAUGUAAGAUGUAACACUUAUAUAGGCCCAAGCGGUCAAGAAAGAAAAACAACGAUUCAUUAUCUCAAAACUUCAAAAUGGUAUCAGAGCUUUCUAACCCUAGAGCCGCCGCCACCUGAGGAAAUCCCUGACCCU